rnacentral:tRNA from 2 species
GUCGACGUAGCUCAGUGGAAGAGCAACCGCCUGUCGAGCGGUAGGCCGCGGGUUCGAUCCCCGUCGUCGGCG